GACGAACGCUGGCGGCGUGCUUAACACAUGCAAGUCGAACGGAAAGGCCCUGCUUUUGUGGGGUGCUCGAGUGGCGAACGGGUGAGUAACACGUGAGUAACCUGCCCUUGACUUUGGGAUAACUUCAGGAAACUGGGGCUAAUACCGGAUAGGAGCUCCUGCUGCAUGGUGGGGGUUGGAAAGUUUCGGCGGGUGGGGAUGGACGCGCGGCUUAUCAGCUUGUUGGUGGGGUAGUGGCUUACCAAGGCUUUGACGGGUAGCCGGCCUGAGAGGGUGACCGGCCUCAUUGGGCCUGCGAUACGGCCCAGACUCCUACGGGAGGCAGCAGUGGGGAAUAUUGCACAAUGGGCGGAAGCCUGAUGCAGCAACGCCGCGUGCGGGAUGACGGCCUUCGGGUUGUAAACCGCUUUCGCCUGUGACGAAGCGUGAGUGACGGUAAUGGGUAAAGAAGCACCGGCUAACUACGUG
rnacentral:rRNA from 1 species